UGCAGUCAAGUCAAAUUCAGUCCCUGCCCUGUCAUGGUGGGAACUGGCCUAGAUGGCUGCCAUAACAAGUUCUGCUGCUCAUGGACCCCUGGUCUCCUAUCCUGGAACCUGGGGAUAAGUUUGGCUGUAGACACUA